NNNGAUAUAGAUCAGUGGUAGAGCAUUCGAUUGCAGAUCGAGAGGUCCCCGGUUCAAACCCGGGUGUCCCCU
rnacentral:tRNA from 1 species